CUCCGGCCUUCCUCCUAUAACCAUCCCCUCCACCCUGCACGCCGUCUCAGCCUUCCGGCGAAAUCGCCGCCACAACUACCUCUUGCAGUCGCUCGCCACUUCGAGCAAACGGAGUUACUUAUCUCUAUUUUUUUUCCCCCUCAAAAACACAGUGGUCGACCCCCUUACCCUCGCCGUUGGUGAGAUCGCGCCGCCGCCGCUCAUUUUUCGGAUCCCAAGAAUAAGAUGGCUUUGCGAGGUGUUUGGCAGCUUAAGAAGCUGGUUGUUAGCUAUUGUGAUUGGGGAGGAAGCAGCAGGGGUAUCAGGGCAUUUAUGGACUCACAAUUGCCAGCUUUUAAGGAGAAAAAUCCUCAGCUA
rnacentral:misc_RNA from 1 species